rnacentral:sRNA from 1 species
UUGUGGAGGUGCUCAUGGGGGCUGUUUU